AUAUACGAUCACACUCACGAAUUAUAUGAGCAUCGUAGUUUAAAAGAUGCUUCAUCAAAAUGGAAUUAUUCCUCUUCUGUUCAAGAUGGUCAUUUGGAUAGUAUUGAUUACGUUAUUUGAAGGGGCCGAUUCAUCGAGCAUAUGCACAGGAACACUGAAUCAUGUGACGUCUUCAGAAAACUACACUGAAGUUAUCAUCGACAUAUGGUUCAGCCCAAACCAGAACUGCACUUUGGUAAUCGAAAGUGGUAUCUGUAGCGGCGACAGUGGAGUCGAAGUUGAAAUAUUACCAUUUUUUAUAAGUGCUGGCUCGUUGACGAUCUAUGAUGGUAAUGUAUUACUGAAAUUUAUUGGUUUUGUUAGUGUGUACAACGUGUUAAAAAGGUCUAGUUCAUAAGCGGGCGUCGUUUAUAUUAUAUUUGAAUAUCGAUGAUAAUAUAUUUAUACUGUUAAACCUCGAAAUAUUUUCAGUCGUUUCAUUUUCUAUCUUCAUAAAAGUCAUUAUUUCAUUUCAAUUCUUUGCAAAUGAACAAAAUGAUGACAAUAUAAAGAGAAGUGAUGUAUAUAAUGUUGGUUUGGUUUUAUCAGCUUUGACCUCCUAUUAACGGCUAAGAUCAUUUAAGGUCGUGUCUCCAUGUAUGCCAGGGUGUGUACAUGUAUGUUGCACCCACAACUCUCUGACAAAGUGUCAUCAAUAAGAAAGAACUCAUGUGCAUUAUUGCAUCAGAGAAUGUGAGGGAAAUGCUCAAAAACACCAACAAAGUCUGAACAAUAUCAAAAUGUGCACACUGGUUGCUCAGAAAAAUAAAACUGUAGGACAUACCCCAACCACCAGCAAUCAAAAAUGAUCAUCCAGGACCCAAAGGCUUUUUCUGCGCAACGCAAUCCAGAAAAGUGCAAUAUACCAGAACCCAGAAGACUACAUCAUGGCCAUGGACACAUUCUACGUUGAGUCAUUCAACAAUGAUUUGAACCUUUUUCAAGACAAACGAAUUGCAUUCAGGAAUGAAAAUAUAUCCGGAGAAGUCGUAUGGGUGUCCGUCACUGGAAUGAAAAUGUAGAUAGGCCCUACAGCAGUAUUUGGAAUCCACCAGAGGCCCAGCUUGUGCCUAACAUUGGACCUAGACACCACAAAGGCAAAAAAGUGUACAAGAAGGGAACAUUUGUGUACACGUGGAAUAUAUGGAAUACUCAAAUGAAGUUUUUAUUUGUAAAUUGACCUGGAUAAAAAAACCUUACCAAGUUCACAAAACACCAAUCAUAAACAAGUAUGAGACCCCAUUGUUUGGACGAUAUAUUUACAUAUUGACAUUGAUCAACACGCCCAAACCAGAACUGCACUUUGGUAAUCGAAAGUGGUAUCUGUAGCGGCGACAGUGGAGUCGAAGUUGAAAUAUUACCAUUUUUUAUAAGUGCUGGCUCGUUGACGAUCUAUGAUGGUAAUGUAUUACUGAAAUUUAUUGGUUUUGUUAGUGUGUACAACGUGUUAAAAAGGUCUAGUUCAUAAGCGGGCGUCGUUUAUAUUAUAUUUGAAUAUCGAUGAUAAUAUAUUUAUACUGUUAAACCUCGAAAUAUUUUCAGUCGUUUCAUUUUCUAUCUUCAUAAAAGUCAUUAUUUCAUUUCAAUUCUUUGCAAAUGAACAAAAUGAUGACAAUAUAAAGAGAAGUGAUGUAUAUAAUGUUGGUUUGGUUUUAUCAGCUUUGACCUCCUAUUAACGGCUAAGAUCAUUUAAGGUCGUGUCUCCAUGUAUGCCAGGGUGUGUACAUGUAUGUUGCACCCACAACUCUCUGACAAAGUGUCAUCAAUAAGAAAGAACUCAUGUGCAUUAUUGCAUCAGAGAAUGUGAGGGAAAUGCUCAAAAACACCAACAAAGUCUGAACAAUAUCAAAAUGUGCACACUGGUUGCUCAGAAAAAUAAAACUGUAGGACAUACCCCAACCACCAGCAAUCAAAAAUGAUCAUCCAGGACCCAAAGGCUUUUUCUGCGCAACGCAAUCCAGAAAAGUGCAAUAUACCAGAACCCAGAAGACUACAUCAUGGCCAUGGACACAUUCUACGUUGAGUCAUUCAACAAUGAUUUGAACCUUUUUCAAGACAAACGAAUUGCAUUCAGGAAUGAAAAUAUAUCCGGAGAAGUCGUAUGGGUGUCCGUCACUGGAAUGAAAAUGUAGAUAGGCCCUACAGCAGUAUUUGGAAUCCACCAGAGGCCCAGCUUGUGCCUAACAUUGGACCUAGACACCACAAAGGCAAAAAAGUGUACAAGAAGGGAACAUUUGUGUACACGUGGAAUAUAUGGAAUACUCAAAUGAAGUUUUUAUUUGUAAAUUGACCUGGAUAAAAAAACCUUACCAAGUUCACAAAACACCAAUCAUAAACAAGUAUGAGACCCCAUUGUUUGGACGAUAUAUUUACAUAUUGACAUUGAUCAACACGGUAUGUAUAUGACAUUUUGUUUUACCUUUUUAAGGGGCAUUAUUAUUUCGUGGCAGUUUUUUGAGCUAUGAGUUGAUGCUACUGAUUGGAAAGCUGUUGUGUUUGCCAUGUGCGAUGUAUAUAGACGUUUCUAGAUAUUAUGAAAAAAUGCAUAGGAUGUUUUGGUAUUUACUCCAAUACUUCUCAUUUCUUGAUUUUUUUCUCUUCUUUUUAU